GUUCAUUCGUCGUAAUAUCUAUAUUGAUCCGCGUCAUUCACGCUGCCGGAAACACUGGAACAAUUACGGCGACGUUUACGUACACUGCUGUGGAGUUUCCCAAUUCCGUUGCCAAAAUCUUUAAUCUUACAAGAACCAUGAUGAACAUUGCCCAGUUUGCUAGUCCUAUAGUCGGUGGUGCAUUGCAUGAAGUAGGUGGUUUUAAGACUACCUUUAUCCUCAUGGGAGGAAUUCAAACUAUUAUGGCCUUUAUUGCAUUACCCUUUCUCGCCGAUUAUGACGUGUCACAGUAUGACGAGGGAUAAACUAAAACUCAAUCGCCAUUGGCUAUUUUGUGUAUUCCAUCCAUUUGGAUCCCGUUCUUCACGUUCAUCGUAUCGACAUGUCGAACGGGUUCCUCUCGAUCAACUUUGAACCGCAAGUGUUG